AGAGUUUGAUCCUGGCUCAGGAUGAACGCUAGCGGCAGGCUUAAUACAUGCAAGUCGAGGGGCAGCAUGAGUGUAGCAAUACAUUUGAUGGCGACCGGCAAACGGGUGCGGAACACGUACACAACCUUCCUAUAAGUGGGGAAUAGCCCAGAGAAAUUUGGAUUAAUACCCCGUAACAUAAUGAUGUGGCAUCACAUUAUUAUUAUAGCUACGGCGCUUAUUGAUGGGUGUGCGGCUGAUUAGAUAGUUGGCGGGGUAACGGCCCACCAAGUCUACGAUCAGUAGCUGAUGUGAGAGCAUGAUCAGCCACACGGGCACUGAGACACGGGCCCGACUCCUACGGGAGGCAGCAGUAAGGAAUAUUGGUCAAUGGACGCAAGUCUGAACCAGCCAUGCCGCGUGAAGGAUUAAGGUCCUCUGGAUUGUAAACUUCUUUUAUCUGGGACGAAAAAAGGCGAUUCUUCGUCACUUGACGGUACCAGAUGAAUAAGCACCGGCUAACUCCGUGCCAGCAGCCGCGGUAAUACGGAGGGUGCAAGCGUUAUCCGGAUUCACUGGGUUUAAAGGGCGCGUAGGCGGGUAGGUAAGUCAGUGGUGAAAUCCUGGAGCUUAACUCCAGAACUGCCAUUGAUACUAUCUAUCUUGAAUAUUGUGGAGGUAAGCGGAAUAUGUCAUGUAGCGGUGAAAUGCUUAGAUAUGACAUAGAACACCUAUUGCGAAGGCAGCUUACUACGCAUAUAUUGACGCUGAGGCACGAAAGCGUGGGGAUCAAACAGGAUUAGAUACCCUGGUAGUCCAA
rnacentral:rRNA from 1 species